CUGGGAUGUUAUGGGUUGCCAAAGUAAGUAACAAAGUAGCUCAGUGCACACUUUCCACAUAAGUCUCGAUCUAGGUUCAGGCUACCCGUCCCGCAUACCGACCCAGGUGUGUGAGGAGAGUAUCCUAAUGCCAGCUACAGAACUUUUGUUAAGGAACUCUGCAAAAUGACCCCGUAACUUAGGGAUAAGGGGUGCCACCAUCAGGUGGCCGCAGAUAAUAGGCCCAAGCGACUGUUUACCACAAACAUAGGUUUCUGCUAAGUCGCAAGACGAUGUAUAGGAGCUGACGCCUGCCCGGUGCUGGAAGGUUGAGGGGAUAUAGUAAAUCAUUCAAAACAGAGAACUUAAGCCACAGUUAACGGCGGACGUAACUAUAACGGUUCUAAGGUAGCGACAUUCCUUGUCGGGUAAGUUCCGACUCGCACGAACGGCGUAACGAUUUGGGCACUGGCUCAACAA
rnacentral:rRNA from 1 species